AGUGAACGCUGGCGGUACGCCUAACACAUGCAAGUCGAACGGCAGCACAGUAAGAGCUUGCUCUUACGGGUGGCGAGUGGCGGACGGGUGAGGAAUACAUCGGAAUCUACUUUUUCGUGGGGGAUAACGUAGGGAAACUUACGCUAAUACCGCAUACGACCUACGGGUGAAAGCAGGGGAUCUUCGGACCUUGCGCGAUUGAAUGAGCCGAUGUCGGAUUAGCUAGUUGGCGGGGUAAAGGCCCACCAAGGCGACGAUCCGUAGCUGGUCUGAGAGGAUGAUCAGCCACACUGGAACUGAGACACGGUCCAGACUCCUACGGGAGGCAGCAGUGGGGAAUAUUGGACAAUGGGCGCAGGCCUGAUCCAGCCAUACCGCGUGGGUGAAGAAGGCCUUCGGGUUGUAAAGCCCUUUUGUUGGGAAAGAAAAGCAGCAGGUUAAUACCCCGCUGUUCUGACGGUACCCAAAGAAUAAGCACCGGCUAACUUCGUG
rnacentral:rRNA from 1 species